rnacentral:rRNA from 1 species
AACGAACGCUGGCGGCAUGCCUAACACAUGCAAGUCGAACGAGACCUUCGGGUCUAGUGGCGUACGGGUGCGUAACGCGUGGGAACCUGCCCUUAGGUUCGGAAUAACUCCCCGAAAGGGGUGCUAAUACCGGAUAAUGUCUUCGGACCAAAGAUUUAUCGCCUUUGGAUGGGCCCGCGUUGGAUUAGCUAGUUGGUAGGGUAAAAGCCUACCAAGGCGACGAUCCAUAGCUGGUCUGAGAGGAUCAUCAGCCACACUGGGACUGAGACACGGCCCAGACUCCUACGGGAGGCAGCAGUGGGGAAUAUUGGAAAAUGGGCGAAAGACUGAUACAGCAAGGCCGCGUGAGUGAUGAAGGCCUUAGGGUUGUAAAGCUCUUUUAACCGGGAUGAUAAUGACAGUACCGGGAGAAUAAGCUACGGCUAACUCCGUG